GUUCUUAUCAGUCACUCUGGACUAACGUUGUCCCUCUAUUAAAGCCCUAUUAAUUGACCUGGGCAGCUGGGGCUAACGAAUUUUGAGGAAUUCCAAGUUAAUCUACUGGAACUUAUUUACAGACACUUUGGGGAUCUCUUAAAUGUUUCCACAAAAGGCUGUCAGGAAAGGGAAACGUGUUAAUGAAAAGGAGAAUGAAACGUCUAAGGGUCUCACUAAUGUGGAACCAGGUAAAGGACAGGACUGGAAUAGAGUGAGCUUGUGAAUGUUUCUGGGGUGAACUGGGGGGGGGGGCUAGCUACGGAGGCCAGGCCAGGCCAGGCCAGGCUGUUUACCAUUGGUUUUCGAUACAUGGGGACAUUGCCAGAAAGAAUCCUUUGGAAACACAUUUUGGAGUUACAAGGAAGAAGUCCACAACAUGCUAGUGGUAACCUUGGGGCGAGACACAUAAAGGCAGACCAAUCCUUUGCAAACGAUAGAAUGUUUUCCAACCAACUGUCGUCUUUAGACUUGGUUUGCUGGCUUUGCAGAAGUGUUAAAGUUUCCAAAAGAGAUUGCUUUCACCAGGUGGGCUACCCAGGAAUUAAGGCCAUACUGCUUAUUUCAAAGAUGACAAUUACCAAGACAUUCCGAGGUCAAAAACGAGACCACACUUGAACGAGAAUCGUACAGCGGCGGAGCAAAAGCAGACGGGCGCCUGGGCAGCCUUCCUCCGCCUCCGCCCCCAGCGCCUCGCCUCUCUCGGCAGGCGGUCUGUCUGCAGGAGCCAGCCGCUCUCAACUGCCAUUUUGGAUCCACGCGGACUCAACUCGGUGCCACCCGUAUGCCAGGCUCUGGGAAUACGAAAGCGGUGCGAUGCUGCCUGGAGAACAACAUCCCUUUGCUUAAGAACUUCCAUGCAUUUCCUAUUUUCUGCUUCCUCCCAGGACCCACUUUCCAUCCAAACACUUUCCACCUUCCCUGAACCCUCCCUCCAGUCUUCUUGCCAGCCCGAGGCCCCACGCGAGGACCGGGCGCGACCUCUUCCUUCCCCUGGAGCCUACUCACGCCCAGCUCAAGCCUCACAUGCUGGGGUUCCGGAUCCUUUCGUGUGUGUGUGUGUGUGUGUGUGUGUGUGUGUGUCCCCUUCACUGUGACUGCUCCUGGGAGGCUCCUGCCUCCGAAUGUCACCUCUCCCGGGAGGACGCCCCCUUCCUCCUCUGGUCUGCACGCUCCAGGUGCACAUGGCGGGGCUCAGUAUUCACCUCUCGCCACCCACUCGACUGAGUCCCCACUCUACUGUCCCGGGUGUUGGUUUUGCCCAGGAAAAGUAAGGUUCUGCUUUGUCUUUCACCUUACCCUGGGGACAGAGAAAAGAGGAGACCUCAGAGGAGACUGCAGGAGGCAGCUCACUCUGCUUCCGAGAGGACAGGACACUGGGACGCAGGGCUGCGCAGAGGGCAGAGAAGGGGCACCCAACAUCAGCAAUGCUUCGGGGAC
rnacentral:lncRNA from 1 species